CGGUAUACACAAUCACAAAGCAAGGAAGCACGGCCCUUGGAUUAAACACCAGUAGAUCUUCUUCGUCAACUCUGCUAUGGACCCCACUUCCACCUCUCCCCACCACAGAAUCAAACCCUCCAUUUUCCUUAUCCACUUCUUCUUCCAGUUCACACCCGACCCGACCCGCUAGAACUCUGCAUACCAGCAUCGCCCGUUUCACGUUCAUAAACUUGAACUCUUCUUCCACGUCCUCAGGGAUCGCCACGUGCGCUCUCCAGCUGCUCGAUAGUGUAGAAAUUCCGUCCAUCUUGGGUGAGAAGCCGGACUUUAUUAUCCCACAAACGCUGCAGUAUUGCUGGUUGCAAAUGCUGGAAUUUCCAUUCGCUCCCAAAUCACACAUGAAUGUCGAACAGUAAAACCUUAACAGCUCAUUACCAUCUGCUAUGCAUCUUUCGUCUCUUCUCUUCGCGCCACCAUUUCUUGCUGCUUUCGCUUUCACAAGUUCUCUGUACUCUUCAAAUUUUGAUAGGAUCUUUGGACUGUUAUGGAUCUUUAAAAUCCUAUGGAUUUCUGGGUUCUUCUCUUUACAAGACCAACCUGUUUUGAAUAUGAUAUGGACUAUAUUCUUCCCUGAAUCUCCAUCUAGAAGCUCUGACACCGCAUGUUUGAUCGCUUGAUGCUGCUCCAGAAGCUGAGGUUUUUGGAAGAUUUCGCCGCAAGCUGUGCACGGAAAGAUAUCAUUUCGCAAAGGAAAGAACUGAUCAUUAGUUGAGAUAUCUGAUUCCUCACAAGACCCGGAUGUCUUUUUACGUGGAGGAAUAUCGGAUGAGUGAUCUUCCGGAGGGAUCAUGGAGACUAUGGACUGCUGGGAUGAUCUUGCUGAGGUGAGAGUCGUAACUGGAGAUUGAGCCUGUGAGCUGGUGAUUUUGUCGGCCUUAGCGGAGAAGAUGCGUUUGAGAUAGGACCAGGAGGAAGAGAGAGCUCUGUAAGGCUUUCGGCGAGAUGGAGAAGAAGAUGUGGGAGAAAGAAGAGAGACUUUACGUUUCUUGGUCGGUGGCUGAUGAUCUUUAGCUGUGAAAAUAAAGCAACCAAGGUUGAGGAGGAGGAUAAAAAUAGAGAGGAACUUAUUGAACACUGACACUAUGCCGGCCAUUGGUCUUGGGAGCUUGAGCUAAGCUUUAGGUCAUCAAUGAGGCACUACUCGAG
rnacentral:misc_RNA from 1 species